rnacentral:rRNA from 1 species
UUACCAUUGUUAUAUGCCAGCCGCCGCGGUAAUUCUGGGUAACCUGCCUGUAAGACUGGGAUAACUCCGGGAAACCGGGGCUAAUACCGGAUGCUUGAUUGAACCGCAUGGUUCAAUUUUGAAAGGUGGCUUCGGCUACCACUUACAGAUGGACCCGCGGCGCAUUAGCUAGUUGGUGAGGUAACGGCUCACCAAGGCAACGAUGCGUAGCCGACCUGAGAGGGUGAUCGGCCACACUGGGACUGAAACACGGCCCAGACUCCUACGGGAGGCAGCAGUAGGGAAUCUUCCGCAAUGGACGAAAGUCUGACGGAGCAACGCCGCGUGAGUGAUGAAGGUUUUCGGAUCGUAAAACUCUGUUGUUAGGGAAGAACAAGUGCCGUUCUAAUAGGGCGGCACCUGGACGGUACCUAACCAAAAAGCCCCGGCUAACUACGUGCCACCACCCGCGAUAA